UUCCGCUGGUCACACCAUGCCGCGUGAGUUUGAAGGCCCUAUGGUCUGAAAGCUCUUUUUCAGGAAGAAAAUGAUCUAUCAGGUAAUGAAACCCGGGACUACUCCAUGACAGAACGGCUAACUCCACGGCGGGGGUUACGGUUGUUGGAAGUUCUGGGCGUUAUCCGCACUCAUUGGGUUUAAUGGGUCCGAAGUGAGAUCUCUGGGUUCAAGCUGAGAACUGCCUUCUAAACUGCUAGUCUGGAGUUCAAAAGAGGUGACUGGAAUUCCAAGGGUAUAGGUGAAAUUCGUAGAUAUUCGGAGGAAUGCCUAUGUAUAAGGCGGAUCACUGGUUGCAAACGGACGCUAAUGUGCUGAAAUGUGGGCAGCGAACAGAAUUAGAUACCCUGGUAGUCCAUUCCAUAACCUGGAAAUCCACGCCGUACACUAUCAUCACUCUCUGUGACACACCUAACGGUUAUCCCCCUCCGCCUGGGGAGUACGGUCCCCCUAUUCAAACUGAAUUGAAAUUGACGGACUCAAAGGAAUUGACGGUU
rnacentral:rRNA from 1 species